CAAACCAAAGCUGGCGACCGGCGCACGGGUGAGUAACACGUAUCCAACCUGCCUCAUACUCGGGGAUAGCCUUUCGAAAGAAAGAUUAAUAUCCGAUAGCAUAUAUUUCCCGCAUGGUUUUAUAUUAAAGAAAUUCGGUAUGAGAUGGGGAUGCGUUCCAUUAGUUUGUUGGGGGGUAACGGCCCACCAAGACUACGAUGGAUAGGGGUUCUGAGAGGAAGGUCCCCCACAUUGGAACUGAGACACGGUCCAA
rnacentral:rRNA from 1 species